rnacentral:rRNA from 1 species
AGCAGCCGCGGUAAUUCCAGCUCCAAUAGCGUAUAUUAAAGUUGUUGCAGUUAAAAAGCUCGUAGUUGAAUUUCGGGGUUCUACCGUUGGUCGAGCUACUGUUUGUACUGGCGUGUAGAAUUUCUACCUUCUGGGGAACUAUCAUGUUAUUAAUUUAGCGUGGUAGGAAACCAGGACCUUUACCUUGAAAAAAUUAGAGUGUUCAAAGCAGGCUUAUGUCUGAAUACAUUAGCAUGGAAUAAUAAAAUAGGACGGUGGUCCUGUUUUGUUGGUUUCUGAAUCACCGUAAUGAUUAAUAGGGAUAGUUGGGGGCAUUAGUAUUCAAUUGUCAGAGGUGAAAUUCUUGGAUUUAUUGAAGACU